UCAUGCACGUUUCAGAUGUUCUGCUCCAGCCAAACAAAUUGUCCGGGCUUAAUUUCUGAGAAAUCAUGGUCAGGAAUUGCUGAACCAGUUUAAUUCUAAAGCACAUAUUUAUACGGGGCUUCAAAAUUCACAUCCUUGCACACCAUUACAAAUGGAAGGGAGAGAAAGUUUAAUCAGGAAUAAGGUUAGGUCUGAGCAGGGAGGGCGGAGGAGAAAGUGGCAGGAGCAGCUAAAGCCGAAAGCCCUGCAUUUAGUGAACAUUGCUUGGGCAGCCAGGGCUGAGGGUCUGGACUCCCCUGGGCUCAGAUCCAUGACAAGCUAAUCUGAAAAAAAAAAAAAAAUGAUGUAUAAGAGGAGCCCAAGGCUGUGUGUCUCAUGGGACAUCGAGGCUUCAGGAUGACGUGGCCUGUUUAGUUUUCUGUUCACUGGCCCCUGCCACCUUCUCCACUGUUACCCAAUGGAGGAUACCCUGCUCUUGUCUCCCCUGCCUUACCCAGGUGCCUCCCCACAGAUGAAGUUGAAGGGGGCAGGAAAGGUUGGUCACCUGGCAGGAGGCAGUUGGAGCCUGUACCCCAGAAGAAAGAAGUCAGGGAGAUGCUUGCUAACGGAGGUCUCCUGCCACACUGUGCCGGCUCAUCUUCCUCAGCUGCAGAAUGUUCUGAUGUCAUCAUCCAAAUAGACGCAUCAGUGGGCUACCAUCUAAGCAAGGCAUCUUUGCCCUUGAAGGCAGUACCUCACACAGGGCCAGGUAUAUAUAUGUAAGAUACAUAUAUACGUGUGUGUGUGUGUGUGUGUGUGUGUGUGUGUAUGUAUUACAUACAGGUAUAUGUAAGAU
rnacentral:lncRNA from 1 species